rfam:Trichobilharzia regenti genome assembly, scaffold: TRE_scaffold0025509
GUACUGCUGAAGAGUCCCAAAUUAGUGGGACGAAACAGCUAUCCAGUAC